UACAGCUUUGAACAUACUUGACUCACCUGCUCCGGCGUUGUCGCCUCCUUCCUCUGCUGACAGCUGGGGGCUUUGUUUCUCCACCCCCUCAGCCUGCCACGCUCCGCCUCCACAGACUCACGUGACUCGCCGUCUGCCACCGUCAGCGUCCACUUGAGAGAGCCCCCGGGCGCCGCCUCUUCUCCGGGUGCAGGUGGAGACCCCAGCAGUAGAAGGGACCCUCAGGUUCGAGGCGAUUCGCAGAGGAACUCUGGGUCAGACAGGCUGAACUGGUGACAGAGGGGAAAGUGUGGGGGUUGGGGAAGAAAUGGAGAAAGCCGAUGGCUGCAGCCAGCUGGGAGCAGAAGGGCGAAGCUUGCCGAGAAUCCAAAGGUGAUGUUCCACCCUGAAUGAAGUACCUGCACCUGGACUCUUCAUGGCACCCCGAAACUAUUUGCACUCACUCCUAGGAACUUCUGGAUAGGGAGGGACAACCUAGUUUUUUCCAUGAAUAUUAAUUAAAAGAAGCACCUCAUAGCCGGAUAGCGCUAUUAACGAUUUAUUAACUGUGCACUGUAUGAAGGUUCCAAACCUACCUUUUGUUUCUGUUGAUGUUUGGGUUCAAGUUGGAAAAUAGGUUCCGGACUGGGGAAGUUCACUCCGGAAGAUGAUUGGUGUGGGCACGUGUCCUUCUGGAACAGCAGCCGUUUUUAAUGAAACGAACUAAAAAAAUGUUAGGGCCUCAAGAUCAGGCUCAGUAUCUGCUGUUCUUGGAAGUGGUCCCACCCCCGCUGUUUCCAAUACUCUCCAGUGUCUGCAUCGGAAACAAAUUGCUGUGGGACUCCUUCCUUUAGUCCCUGGAGAACAGGGUCAGCCUCAUCUUGAUGCCCCCACUCUCCCUGCUAACUAAGGAGAAGAAUGCCUCUCCUCCAGCUGUCACUAAAAAUCCUUAUAGGGGUUGACCUCAGCACGGCACUCGUUCAGAAGGAUUCGCUGGGGGAUUUUCUUAGAACAAAUUCGAAUACUUUGUCUUCAACCGUGACUGUCAUCAGCUCGUCUGUGAAUGUGACUUACUGGUGUCGGAGCAACGUGAGCGGCUGUGAGCUGUCGCCCAGAGGAUGAUCCGUGGGAACACGACUGGGGAGAGACUGUGUCCCUCACGAUAGGGCAAACUAUGCCUCUGUAACAAAUGCUACCAAACUCUCAGUGGCUGACACACGGACAGACUCCAGGGAAGCUGGCCUAGAUGAUUGUCUUUCUAGCCUGCUUCAUCCUUGGACAGCUCCCUGAGCACCCAGCAGAAAAGGGAGCAGAAAGAAAUGCACACGAACCUGCGUGCCUUCACUCACAGGUGACCCAAAGUUUUUCCAGUUUCAUUGUUUAAAAGAAGUUAUGUUAAGUUCAGACUUUAAGAAGUGUGCACUCAACAGAAAGAGGAAAGCAGAGAGUUUGUGACUGUGGAUGAUAUCACCCACAGGGAUCCAUUUAGAGGAAGUUGGGGAUAAAAUCACACUAAAGAGUUUAGCUUUAGCAGGAGGUUUGCAGAAUUACCAGUUGGGUGACUGCAGUACUGUGGGGCAUUUUAUUGGGGGGAGUGGGGCACUAAUGUGCUGUUGUCAUACAGCAUUAUCAAGAGAAACACUUGUCAGUCCACUCCAGGUCAGGUCAGUCCACUCCAGGCCUUGACAAUCCAGACACAUCUGCGAUGUACUGUCCUGGCUGCUCCCCAGGUAGCAUACCCGCCUUGAAUGUGUAAGGCUACAACAACACAAGACAACUUUCUGAUUUUGAUGACACUUAUGGUA